AUCCCAUUGUGUCUUCCUCUGUUGUUAGACCUUCACCGUCACCAUAUUGCAAAAUUCCAAGUUCGGCAUACCCUUGCAUAUGUGUGUGGAUGAAGUCUCACAUGGACAAAGAAGAGGAACCGAUGCCUUCAACAUCCGGGAUCGGAUCAGACAGAAUUAGAGAAAGAGUUAGUUCCAGACAAGUGUGGUUUAGACCUAACUACGACUUGUCAAGUGAUGACUCUGAUUAGAUUGGGGUCUUGAGAAACUGAAGACCUACCUGGGAAGUCCCAUUAGGAUACCAUAACUUCUUUGUUGUAUUUGUUAAAGCCGAUGGCUUUCUAGCAGGACCGCGGAUGCCUUAGGUAGCGUCUUGCGCCGGGGCUUUUCUUUAUCCCGCUGCUAGAUUUUCAUUUUAGAUGUUAAGGAUUCUAGCAGGACCGAGGAUGCCUUAGGUAGCGUCUUGCACCGGGGCUUUUCUUUAUCCCGCUGCUAGAUUUUCAUUUUAGAUGUUAAGAUUUCUGGCUGAAAGGGCAAUGCUAACAUUUUGCAAUUAGUCAAUGAAUGACUAAAUGCUGGAGGAGGCUAAUAAAAUUUUUUGAGGAAGACAACCAUACUGCUGAACAAAAAUCACUAAAAGGAGUCUGACAUGGCUGGUGCAAAGACGAUAAAUGCGAAAAGGAAUGAGACAACGCUACAGGAUCAAUACUAAAUGUAAAACCAUCUUGCUGGAUAAAAAUCAAACCUAAAAACGAUUAAGACAACGUGGCUCGGGACACUGGAAGCAAUACAAUUGAGACAACACUGCCGCAAAUUUAAGACAUGAAAAAUUACAAAUGGAGGCACAAUAUAAUCGGUUGAGCUCUGGUAUAAACGAAUUGAAACAGCGGCUUUAAAGUUUUAACCAUUUUGGUCUGGACAUUAUAAAAUCCACAAGGAGUGAAGCGUCGUUACGUAUAAAAUAAGAACUGCAGGGACAAUAACAAUGGGAGUUAAUUCAAAUGUUCAAAGAUAACUGGAGGAAGAGAGAAAUGGGCAGGUCCUUUGGAUCCCAGAAAUGAACUGUUUGGUGGCUGGAUUCCAAAACCCUCAAGUCCACAUGUUAAAAUGUCGUCGAACUCAGGUGAUGAUGGUUUUAAAAGGAGGUAAUGCUGCUGGGUGUCAAGCCUAAAAUCUCUUAGGACUGAGAAGAGAUAACACUUUUCGGUACAAGUUAAUCUGUCUCAGUAUGGAGACAACGCUUCCGCAGACAAAUAAAAUCUUUCAGGUAGUGAGAAGUUAAAUUCUUUCAGGAUUAAUAUGAUUCCAGGGUGGAAAAAUUAAAAUGUAGAGGAAUUAAAACAACCCCGCGGAGUACUAAUUAAAACUUUUAAGAAUAAAAAAAAAAGAUAAGAGAUAAAUAUUUGGUUAAUUCUUGGUCCAGUGACUUGGAUCACCAUAGAUUUAUUCUGAGGACCACCAGGAGCUGCAGUCACCUUUCUGGUAAAGCAAAAGUAAGUAUCAGUCAGAGACAGAGCAGUGCGCAGUGAGACUGCUUCUUCCAAGAUUCUCUCUGUGCUUCUGUCUCUGUUUUCCUCUCUGCUCUCCCAUGUUUCAGGGUGUAGUAGCAGUGUUUCCCCACACGGUGCUCUCUGAUAUAGUAAAUUGUUCUCACUGUUCCUCCACUAAUCCACUCUCCCAGUUUUAAUCUUUCAGGCUUUAGCUGUUCAUCGCUGGAUUCUUUUGUGGUCGUCCAUGUGGUUCCUCUUCUUCUGGUUCCUGCUUGUUGGAUCUCCUGAGUCUUGAAUCCUCCACCUUCAACAUCACCGGUCAGGUGGAGGAAGAUAAGAGAACCCAGUUGACGAAAAAAUUGACCAACAAUGAAAACAGAAGACCUGCUUCACCUGCUGUUCUACUGGUUGUAAGAGAUUGUGGAAAAGGUUGGAUCUCCUGAACCUGCAAACCUCCACCUUCAACCCCAUCAGUCAGGAGGAGGAAGAUACGAGAACCAAGUUGACGAAAAAAGUAAGAAAACAUAUUUUUUCCCACCUAACAAUUUCAAAUACGGAUGAAAUUGCGAUCAUUGUCAAAACUGUGACAGUAUCAUCAGUGACAGAAGAAUAUACAUUUCUUCUGUCCAUGUGUAUUCUCUUUAUUUACCCCUGUUGUCUUUCCUUUGUAUUUCAUUUCUCUAUUAACUUAUGUCACACGAUUUGAGCUGCUGAUCUACUGGUUGUAACAGAUUGUGAAGAGGUGUCGCCAUGACGAUGACUUGAUCAGAUUCAGAUUUACUGAAGGGGAAGUAUUAUGUAUUUUCCAGGCACAUAGUGUCAUCUUAUUGCACAAUCAAGUACCAAUGUUACCUUCAGUUGUGGAAUUCUGUAUUUUUCAAAUAUGACAUAAAAGAAAUUUGACUUCAUAAUUUAACAUCCAGAAAUUGGGCCUUUUCUUGCUUUCAGCACAUCAUCACUUUGUCUCUCCAUAAGACCUUUUAUAAGGCUGCAGCUUCAAGGAUUUUUAGACAUAGACUUGGUAAAACAAAGAUUUUUACACCGUUGCCAUGGAAUAUUAAAGGAUUUCUCAAACUUUCCCUACAGAAUAAAGGCAACACUCCAGUGUUGCUACGUUGAAUGAAGAUCAGUCAGAUGACAGAGAUGGAAACAUCUUACAAACUGCUGGUUGCUUUCAGUUCUCUGUGAUUGUCGAUGACAAAGAGAAGAUUGGGAAAGACUUCAAACAGUGGUCCAUCAUUUACCGCAAUCAUCUCUCUAUUCAAAGAUUCAAGGAUGGCCUUUCAACCCUGGAUUUACGUUAUGAUUUGGAGCUUCAUGCUUCUGUGUUCAGGCCCUUUAUGUGUACAAGUGUGGAAACGUUGACAUCAGAAAUGUUAGAGGAAAUCUUUGAGGUUCAGCUCAGCGAAAAGGACAGACGACAAGAAGAAACCAGACUGCUAGGAUUCUCCUUGAGACAGACCAAACCUCGCUUUCCUGUUCAAACACUGUCAGAAUACCAAUGCCCAAGACAUUCGAUCAGUUCCAAAAAAGACAUGGACUUUGGGAUACAAAACUCUUUGGACUUUAUUAAGUUGAAAUACAGAAUCACAAAACUCAAAUGUGGAUGUUGGCCUGUGAAGGCAGAUGUUAACUUGUGAAACCUGCUCUGUCAAAGUUCUGACUCUGCUGCAUUGUGGUUGUUUGUAACACACCAUUAAAGUUUAGACUCUCAUUUAUUUCCAAGUCCACCAUGUUUUUCAGUCUUAUGUAAUUUUCCACAUAGGAUUCCCAAGUCAGUGGAUGCACUAGGCCACUGUCUCUAGAGGUCCUCAAACUGUCCUUAAAGACGGUCAUGGUCACAUUGACUGCUGUUUGACUCGGUCAUAAACUGCCCCAAUUCCUCCUGGGAGUCUGGGGACCCACAGUCUGUCCUGCCAAACCCAGGAGUAAAAUAUACAGAGGACACAUAGUUUAGUUCUAUAUUUACAUUUCUUCAUUCAACUGUCACUACCAACUGCUAUGACUAUUGUUGAAAACUGUUGUAAUGCUUAAUUGUAUUUGUCAUCAGAAAUUGUUACAAUAAAUAGUGACAUACUAACA